GACGAACGCUGGCGGCGUGCUUAACACAUGCAAGUCGAACGGAAAGGCCCUGCUUUUGUGGGGUUCUCGAGUGGCGAACGGGUGGGUAACACGUGAGUAACCUCCCCUUGACUUUGGGAUAACUUCUGGAAAAUGGGGCUAAUAACGCAUAGGAGCUCCUGCGGCAUGGUGGGGGUUGGAAAGAUUCGGCGUUUGGGGAUGGACUCGGGGGUUAUCAGCUUGUUGGUGUGGUUGUGGCUUACCCAGGCUAUGACGGGUAGCCGGCCUGAGAGGGUGAUCGGCCACACUGGAACGGAGACACGGACCAGACUACUACGAGAGGCAGCAGUCGGGUAUGGUAGGCAGCGGGCGAAAGCAUGACACAGCAACGCGGAGUCUGUGACGAAGGCCCUGGGAUCGUAAAGCUCGCUUUUGGGUUAAGAACCGCUUUCGACUGAGACAUAGAGUGAGUGACGGUAACGGAUAAAGAAGCACCGGCUAACUACGUG
rnacentral:rRNA from 1 species